GUGUGGGCGUUAGAGCAUUGAGAGGACCUUUCCCUAGUACGAGAGGACCGGGAAGGACGCAUCUCUGGUGUACCAGUUAUCGUGCCCACGGUAAACGCUUGGUAGCCAAGUGCGGAGCGGAUAACUACUGAAAGCAUCUAAGUAGUAAGCCCAACCCUUGGAACAUACUACAGCCCCAAGUGGCGAAGAGCCGACAUCAAGGUGCCAAACCUU
rnacentral:ncRNA from 1 species